rnacentral:rRNA from 1 species
UACGGAGGGUGCAAGCGUUAUCCGGAUUCACUGGGUUUAAAGGGUGCGUAGGUGGGUUGUGAAGUCAGUGGUGAAAUCUCCAAGCUUAACUUGGAACUGCCGUUGAUACUAUAAUCUUGAAUGUCGUGGAGGUGAGCGGAAUAUGUCAUGUAGCGGUGAAAUGCUUAGAUAUGACAUAGAACACCAAUUGCGAAGGCAGCUACAC